rnacentral:rRNA from 1 species
CCUACGGGAGGCAGCAGUGGGGAAUAUUGCACAAUGGGCGAAAGCCUGAUGCAGCAACGCCGCGUGAGGGACGACGGCCUUCGGGUUGUAAACCUCUUUUAGCAGGGAAGAAGCGAAAGUGACGGUACCCGCAGAAAAAGCACCGGCUAACUACGUGCCAGCAGCCGCGGUAAUACGUAGGGUGCAAGCGUUGUCCGGAAUUAUUGGGCGUAAAGAGCUCGUAGGCGGUUUGUCGCGUCUGCUGUGAAAAUCCGAGGCUCAACCUCGGACCUGCAGUGGGUACGGGCAAACUAGAGUGCGGUAGGGGAGAUUGGAAUUCCUGGUGUAGCGGUGGAAUGCGCAGAUACCAGGAGGAACACCAAUGGCGAAGGCAGAUCUCUGGGCCGUAACUGACGCUGAGGAGCGAAAGCGUGGGGAGCGAACAGGAUUAGAUACCCUGGUAGUCCACGCCGUAAACGGUGGGAACUAGAUGUGGGGUCCGUUCCACGGAUUCCGUGUCGCAGCUAACGCAUUAAGUUCCCCGCCUGGGGAGUACGGCCGCAAGGCUAAAACUCAAAGGAAUUGACGG